rnacentral:rRNA from 1 species
UUUCGGGGUACACGAGCGGCGAACGGGUGAGUAACACGUGGGUGAUCUGCCCUGCACUUCGGGAUAAGCCUGGGAAACUGGGUCUAAUACCGGAUAUGACCUCCUAUCGCAUGGUGGGUGGUGGAAAGAUUUAUCGGUGCAGGAUGGGCCCGCGGCCUAUCAGCUUGUUGGUGGGGUAAUGGCCUACCAAGGCGACGACGGGUAGCCGACCUGAGAGGGUGACCGGCCACACUGGGACUGAGACACGGCCCAGACUCCUACGGGAGGCAGCAGUGGGGAAUAUUGCACAAUGGGCGAAAGCCUGAUGCAGCGACGCCGCGUGAGGGAUGACGGCCUUCGGCCCACCUUCGACGGCUCCCUCCCACAAGGGGUUAAGCCACCGGCUUCGGGUGUUACCGACUUUCAUGACGUGACGGGCGGUGUGUACAAGGCCCGGGAACGUAUUCACCGCAGCGUUGCUGAUCUGCGAUUACUAGCGACUCCGACUUCACGGGGUCGAGUUGCAGACCCCGAUCCGAACUGAGACCAGCUUUAAGGGAUUCGCUCCACCUCACGGUCUCGCAGCCCUCUGUACUGGCCAUUGUAGCAUGUGUGAAGCCCUGGACAUAAGGGGCAUGAUGACUUGACGUCGUCCCCACCUUCCUCCGAGUUGACCCCGGCAGUCUCUUACGA